rnacentral:rRNA from 1 species
UUCUUUGCUGACGAGCGGCGGACGGGUGAGUAAUGCUUGGGAACAUGCCUUGAGGUGGGGGACAACAGUUGGAAACGACUGCUAAUACCGCAUAAUGUCUACGGACCAAAGGGGGCUUCGGCUCUCGCCUUUAGAUUGGCCCAAGUGGGAUUAGCUAGUUGGUGAGGUAAUGGCUCACCAAGGCGACGAUCCCUAGCUGGUUUGAGAGGAUGAUCAGCCACACUGGGACUGAGACACGGCCCAGACUCCUACGGGAGGCAGCAGUGGGGAAUAUUGCACAAUGGGCGCAAGCCUGAUGCAGCCAUGCCGCGUGUGUGAAGAAGGCCUUCGGGUUGUAAAGCACUUUCAGUCAGGAGGAAAGGUUAACGGUUAAUACCCGCUAGCUGUGACGUUACUGACAGAAGAAGCACCGGCUAACUCCGUGCCAGCAGCCGCGGUAAUACGGAGGGUGCGAGCGUUAAUCGGAAUUACUGGGCGUAAAGCGUACGCAGGCGGUUUGUUAAGCGAGAUGUGAAAGCCCCGGGCUCAACCUGGGAACUGCAUUUCGAACUGGCAAACUAGAGUGUGAUAGAGGGUGGUAGAAUUUCAGGUGUAGCGGUG